rnacentral:rRNA from 1 species
UAGCUACAGGCUCAACACAUGCAAGUCGAGGGGCAGCAUGGUCUUAGCUUGCUAAGGCCGAUGGCGACCGGCGCACGGGUGAGUAACACGUAUCCAACCUGCCGUCUACUCUUGGACAGCCUUCUGAAAGGAAGAUUAAUACAAGAUGGCAUCAUGAGUCCGCAUGUUCACAUGAUUAAAGGUAUUCCGGUAGACGAUGGGGAUGCGUUCCAUUAGAUAGUAGGCGGGGUAACGGCCCACCUAGUCUUCGAUGGAUAGGGGUUCUGAGAGGAAGGUCCCCCACAUUGGAACUGAGACACGGUCCAAACUCCUACGGGAGGCAGCAGUGAGGAAUAUUGGUCAAUGGGCGAGAGCCUGAACCAGCCAAGUAGCGUGAAGGAUGACUGCCCUAUGGGUUGUAAACUUCUUUUAUAAAGGAAUAAAGUCGGGUAUGGAUACCCGUUUGCAUGUACUUUAUGAAUAAGGAUCGGCUAACUCCGUGCCAGCAGCCGCGGUAAUACGGAGGAUCCGAGCGUUAUCCGGAUUUAUUGGGUUUAAAGGGAGCGUACAUGGAUGUUUAAGUCAGUUGUGAAAGUUUGCGGCUCAACCGUAAAAUUGCAGUUGAUACUGGAUAUCUUGAGUGCAGUUGAGGCAGGCGGAAUUCGUGGUGUAGCGGUGAAAUGCUUAGAUAUCACGAAGAACUCCGAUUGCGAAGGCAGCCUGCUAAGCUGCAACUGACAUUGAGGCUCGAAAGUGUGGGUAUCAAACAGGAUUAGAUACCCUGGUAGUCCACACGGUAAACGAUGAAUACUCGCUGUUUGCGAUAUACUGCAAGCGGCCAAGCGAAAGCGUUAAGUAUUCCACCUGGGGAGUACGCCGGCAACGGUGAAACUCAAAGGAAUUGACGGGGGCCCGCACAAGCGGAGGAACAUGUGGUUUAAUUCGAUGAUACGCGAGGAACCUUACCCGGGCUUAAAUUGCAGAUGAAUUACGGUGAAAGCCGUAAGCCGCAAGGCAUCUGUGAAGGUGCUGCAUGGUUGUCGUCAGCUCGUGCCGUGAGGUGUCGGCUUAAGUGCCAUAACGAGCGCAACCCUUGUUGUCAGUUACUAACAGGUUCCGCUGAGGACUCUGACAAGACUGCCAUCGUAAGAUGUGAGGAAGGUGGGGAUGACGUCAAAUCAGCACGGCCCUUACGUCCGGGGCUACACACGUGUUACAAUGGGGGGUACAGAGGGCCGCUACCACGCGAGUGGAUGCCAAUCCCCAAAACCUCUCUCAGUUCGGACUGGAGUCUGCAACCCGACUCCACGAAGCUGGAUUCGCUAGUAAUCGCGCAUCAGCCACGGCGCGGUGAAUACGUUCCCGGGCCUUGUACACACCGCCCGUCAAGCCAUGGGAGCCGGGGGUACGUGAAGUGCGUAACCGCGAGGAGCGCCCUAGGGUAAAC